ensembl:misc_RNA 7SK 7SK RNA
AGAUGCGAGGGCGAUCUGGCCGCAACAUUUGUCACCCCUCGGAUUGCCAGGGUUCACUCAGCUAAUCUGGCUAGCCCUGUGGGGGUCCCCUUCCUCCCUCACCCGGCCAUGUGCAUCCGUCCCCAAGCUGGGCGCUCUGCACAAGAGGACGACAUUUCCAGAUAGGGGAGGAUCUUCUUUGGUCAAGGGUAUAUGAGUUGCUGUGCUCUCCCAUUAGAACCUUGAAACAAGCUCUCAAGGUCCAUUUGUAGGAGAAGGUGGGGUAGUCGGGCUUCCAAGACUCUAGACACAUCUAAUAAAACACUGCAUGUGGAGGUCUGCCUAUCUUA